CCUCAACCCAAGACACUCUGAAAGCAAAGGUGGUGGUGUAGGGUUUCUGCUCUCGCCUCAUUGAUCCUUCAAACCUCUACCCACCCCCCAUUCCCUCUCUUUCUUCUCAUUUGAAUUUCAUAAAAUUUGCUUUUUCAAACCCAUCUCUGCUAACAGUGUCAUUAUGUAUUGUCGCCCUGGUUCCCCUCUCCUCUUCCUUGACCACUUUGCUGCUUGGCUUCCCUACUUCCUCUCCUCUAAUAUUACAUCCCUAAUUCUUGGGGACUUCAACAUUCCCAUUAACCUACCCUUGUCCUCAGUAGCCUCAAAACUGCUUUCCAUGACAUCCUCCCUUGGGCUAUCACAAUGGUGUAAGUCCCCAACCCAUCUAGCUGGCAGUACCCUUGAACAUAUUUUUUCUCAUGAAUGUACAAUCUCUAAUCUCUGCAACACUCCAUUUCCUCUUUCAGAUCACCACCUCUUAUCAUUUACUCUCAAUAGUCACCUACCCCAUCG